rnacentral:miRNA from 1 species
GCAGACACAUUCCAGCCAAUCAGCAGCAGACCCUCCCUCCCAGACCCUCCCACCUCCUGGACAGCUCAUUAAGAAUGCAGCUUCACAAUGAAUGUAAAAUGGAUGCUGUCCAGGAGGUGGGAGGGUCUGGGAGGGAGGGUCUGCUGCUGAUUGGCUGGAAUGUGUCUG